rnacentral:piRNA from 1 species
GACCACUUCCGAUAUCUUCCAGGAUAUCCAGU